AUAAAGUUUUAUUUUGGUUUAUAAAUUUAUUAUUAGUUUAAUUUAUAUGUAAAUUUUUGUAUGAACUUUUAUUUAUUUAAAUAGUAAAUAAAUUUAUUAUAUUCGCAAUGAUUAAUAUUAUUAAUUAAAGAAAUUUAGAAAUAGUAAUAUUAAAGAGUAUUGACUAAAUUUGUGCCAGCAGUCGCGGUUAUACUAAUAAUGCAAAUAAAUUUUUUUAGAUAAAGUUAAAUUGAAUUUUAAUAAAUUAUAAAUAAAUUUAUUAGGUGAAAUUUUAAAUUUAAAAUAAUUUUAUUUUUAUUAAUUGAAGCUUAAAAAUUUUAAAAAUAAACUAGGAUUAGAUACCCUAUUAUUUAAAGUGUAAUUAUAAAAUCUGAGGUAGUAAUAGUUAUGUUCUUGAAACUUAAAAAAUUUGGCGGUAUUUUAGUCUAUUCAGAGGAACCUGUUUUGUAAUUGAUAAUCCACAUUGGACCUUACUUAAAUUUGUUAUCAGUUUAUAUACCGUCGUUAUUAGAAUAUUUUAUAAGAAUGUUAAUUUUCAUAAUUUUUAAAAAUAAAAUAUAUCAGAUCAAGGUGUAGCUUAUAUUUAAGUAUAAAUGGGUUACAAUAAAGUUAUUUAUACGAAUAUAAAUUUGAAAUAUUUAUUGAAGGUGGAUUUGAUAGUAAAAUUAUAAAGAUUAAUAAUUUGAUUUUAGCUCUAAAAUAUGCACACAUCGCCCGUCACUCUUACUAUUAAGGUAAGAUAAGUCGUAACAUAGUAGAUGUACUGGAAAGUGUACCUAGAAUGCA
rnacentral:ncRNA from 1 species